AUGCCCACCCCUACCCCUUAUCAAUCCACUCAACCUAUACAUCACCCUCCUACUGAUGAUGCCUUAGAUUAUUCUCCUCAACCUAUACAUAUUACACCCCCUCCAUCCCUCAAAAGCAGUCUGCCUCCAUCUUCCACAACCACACCUCCUUCUAACAAUUCCCAUCCUUCCCCUCCUCCCAACAAUAGCCACAAUGAUUCUUCCACUACUGUUAGAAAAACCAGCAGGCUCACUAAACCUUCCACAUAUUUAAAGGACUACCACUGCUCAUUGUUACAAGGUAUCACUCAUUCAUCUCCAUCCUCUAACUCAGGUUAA